rnacentral:rRNA from 1 species
GACGAACGCUGGCGGCGUGCCUAACACAUGCAAGUUGAGCGACGAACCAGGGCUUGCCCUGGGGCAAAGCAGCGAACGGGUGAGUAACACGUGGGUAACCUACCCCGAUAACCGGGACAACCCGAGGAAACUCGGGCUAAUACCGGAUGUGCUCACUGGACUUCGGUUCAGUGCGUAAAGGAAGCUUCGGCCUCCGGAUCGGGAGGGGCCCGCGGCCCAUUAGUUUGUUGGUGAGGUAACGGCUCACCAAGACCGCGAUGGGUAGCUGGUCUGAGAGGACGAUCAGCCACACUGGGACUGAGACACGGCCCAGACUCCUACGGGAGGCAGCAGUGGGGAAUCUUGCGCAAUGGGCGAAAGCGUGACGCAGCAACGCCGCGUGGGGGACGAAGGCCUUCGGGUUGUAAACCCCUUUCAGGAGGGACGAAGGUCCGGCGGUGAAUAGCCGUCCGGACUGACGGUACCUCCACAAGAAGCCCCGGCUAACUACGUG